AUUGAACGCUAGCGGGAUGCUUUACACAUGCAAGUCGAACGAGUGGCGGACGGGUGAGUAAUAUAUCGGAACGUGCCCAGUAGCGGGGGAUAACUACUCGAAACAGUAGCUAAUACCGCAUACUAUUGGAGCGGCCCAUAUCGGAUUAGCUAGUUGGUGGGGUAAAGGCUCACCAAGGCCACGAUCCGUAGCUGGUUUGAGAGGAUGACCAGCCACACUGGGACUGAGACACGGACCAGACUCCUACGGGAGGCAGCAGUGGGGAAUUUUGGACAAUGGGGGAAACCCUGAUCCAGCCAUCCCGCGUGUAUGAGAAGGCCUUCGGGUUGUAAAGUACUUUUGGCGGAGAAGCGGUAUUUGCAGAAUAAGCACCGGCUAACUACGUGCCAGCAGCCGCGGUAAUUC
rnacentral:rRNA from 1 species